UAAGGGCGCACGGUGGAUGCCUUGGCACUAGAAGCCGAUGAAGGACGUUACUAACGACGAUAUGCUUUGGGGAGCUGUAAGUAAGCUUUGAUCCAGAGAUUUCCGAAUGGGGAAACCCAGCAUGAGUUAUGUCAUGUUAUCGAUAUGUGAAUACAUAGCAUAUCAGAAGGCACACCCGGAGAACUGAAACAUCUUAGUACCCGGAGGAAGAGAAAGAAAAUUCGAUUCCCUUAGUAGCGGCGAGCGAAACGGGAAGAGCCCAAACCAACAAGCUUGCUUGUUGGGGUUGUAGGACACUCUAUACGGAGUUACAAAGGACGACAUUAGACGAAUCAUCUGGAAAGAUGAAUCAAAGAAGGUAAUAAUCCUGUAGUCGAAAAUGUUGUCUCUCUUGAGUGGAUCCUGAGUACGACGGAGCACGUGAAAUUCCGUCGGAAUCUGGGAGGACCAUCUCCUAAGGCUAAAUACUCUCUAGUGACCGAUAGUGAACCAGUACCGUGAGGGAAAGGUGAAAAGCACCCCGGAAGGGGAGUGAAAUAGAACCUGAAACCGUGUGCUUACAAGUAGUCAGAGCCCGUUAAUGGGUGAUGGCGUGCCUUUUGUAGAAUGAACCGGCGAGUUACGAUUUGAUGCAAGGUUAAGCAGUAAAUGUGGAGCCGUAGCGAAAGCGAGUCUGAAUAGGGCGUUUAGUAUUUGGUCGUAGACCCGAAACCAGGUGAUCUACCCUUGGUCAGGUUGAAGUUCAGGUAACACUGAAUGGAGGACCGAACCGACUUACGUUGAAAAGUGAGCGGAUGAACUGAGGGUAGCGGAGAAAUUCCAAUCGAACCUGGAGAUAGCUGGUUCUCUCCGAAAUAGCUUUAGGGCUAGCCUCAAGUGAUGAUUAUUGGAGGUAGAGCACUGUUUGGACGAGGGGCCCCUCUCGGGUUACCGAAUUCAGACAAACUCCGAAUGCCAAUUAAUUUAACUUGGGAGUCAGAACAUGGGUGAUAAGGUCCGUGUUCGAAAGGGAAACAGCCCAGACCACCAGCUAAGGUCCCAAAAUAUAUGUUAAGUGGAAAAGGAUGUGGCGUUGCCCAGACAACUAGGAUGUUGGCUUAGAAGCAGCCAUCAUUUAAAGAGUGCGUAAUAGCUCACUAGUCGAGUGACACUGCGCCGAAAAUGUACCGGGGCUAAACAUAUUACCGAAGCUGUGGAUUGUCCUUUGGACAAUGGUAGGAGAGCGUUCUAAGGGCGUUGAAGCAUGAUCGUAAGGACAUGUGGAGCGCUUAGAAGUGAGAAUGCCGGUGUGAGUAGCGAAAGACGGGUGAGAAUCCCGUCCACCGAUUGACUAAGGUUUCCAGAGGAAGGCUCGUCCGCUCUGGGUUAGUCGGGUCCUAAGCUGAGGCCGACAGGCGUAGGCGAUGGAUAACAGGUUGAUAUUCCUGUACCACCUAUAAUCGUUUUAAUCGAUGGGGGGACGCAGUAGGAUAGGCGAAGCGUGCGAUUGGAUUGCACGUCUAAGCAGUAAGGCUGAGUAUUAGGCAAAUCCGGUACUCGUUAAGGCUGAGCUGUGAUGGGGAGAAGACAUUGUGUCUUCGAGUCGUUGAUUUCACACUGCCGAGAAAAGCCUCUAGAUAGAAAAUAGGUGCCCGUACCGCAAACCGACACAGGUAGUCAAGAUGAGAAUUCUAAGGUGAGCGAGCGAACUCUCGUUAAGGAACUCGGCAAAAUGACCCCGUAACUUCGGGAGAAGGGGUGCUCUUUAGGGUUAACGCCCAGAAGAGCCGCAGUGAAUAGGCCCAAGCGACUGUUUAUCAAAAACACAGGUCUCUGCUAAACCGUAAGGUGAUGUAUAGGGGCUGACGCCUGCCCGGUGCUGGAAGGUUAAGAGGAGUGGUUAGCUUCUGCGAAGCUACGAAUCGAAGCCCCAGUAAACGGCGGCCGUAACUAUAACGGUCCUAAGGUAGCGAAAUUCCUUGUCGGGUAAGUUCCGACCCGCACGAAAGGCGUAACGAUUUGGGCACUGUCUCAACGAGAGACUCGGUGAAAUCAUAGUACCUGUGAAGAUGCAGGUUACCCGCGACAGGACGGAAAGACCCCGUGGAGCUUUACUGUAGCCUGAUAUUGAAAUUCGGCACAGCUUGUACAGGAUAGGUAGGAGCCUUUGAAACGUGAGCGCUAGCUUACGUGGAGGCGCUGGUGGGAUACUACCCUAGCUGUGUUGGCUUUCUAACCCGCACCACUUAUCGUGGUGGGAGACAGUGUCAGGCGGGCAGUUUGACUGGGGCGGUCGCCUCCUAAAAGGUAACGGAGGCGCUCAAAGGUUCCCUCAGAAUGGUUGGAAAUCAUUCAUAGAGUGUAAAGGCAUAAGGGAGCUUGACUGCGAGACCUACAAGUCGAGCAGGGUCGAAAGACGGACUUAGUGAUCCGGUGGUUCCGCAUGGAAGGGCCAUCGCUCAACGGAUAAAAGCUACCCCGGGGAUAACAGGCUUAUCUCCCCCAAGAGUUCACAUCGACGGGGAGGUUUGGCACCUCGAUGUCGGCUCAUCGCAUCCUGGGGCUGUAGUCGGUCCCAAGGGUUGGGCUGUUCGCCCAUUAAAGCGGUACGCGAGCUGGGUUCAGAACGUCGUGAGACAGUUCGGUCCCUAUCCGUCGUGGGCGUAGGAAAUUUGAGAGGAGCUGUCCUUAGUACGAGAGGACCGGGAUGGACAUACCUCUGGUGUACCAGUUGUCGUGCCAACGGCAUAGCUGGGUAGCUAUGUGUGGACGGGAUAAGUGCUGAAAGCAUCUAAGCAUGAAGCCCCCCUCAAGAUGAGAUUUCCCAACUUCGGUUAUAAGAUCCCUCAAAGAUGAUGAGGUUAAUAGGUUCGAGGUGGAAGCAUGGUGACAUGUGGAGCUGACGAAUA
rnacentral:rRNA from 1 species